rnacentral:rRNA from 1 species
AUUGAACGCUGGCGGCGUGCUUAACACAUGCAAGUCGUGCGGUAACAGGCGUAGCAAUACGUGCUGACGAGCGGCGAACGGGUGCGUAAUACAUGGGAAUCUGCCUUUUAGUGGGGAAUAACCCGGCGAAAGCCGGGCUAAUGCCGCAUAAGAUCUUCGGAUGAAAGCGGGGGAUCGUAAGACCUCGCGCUGAUAGAUGAGCCCAUGCCGGAUUAGCUAGNGGUGAGGUAACGGCUCACCAAGGCGACGAUCCGUAGCUGGUCUGAGAGGACGGCCAGCCACACUGGGACUGAGACACGGCCCAGACUCCUACGGGAGGCAGCAGUGGGGAAUAUUGGACAAUGGGGGAAACCCUGAUCCAGCGACGCCGCGUGUGUGAAGAAGGCCUGCGGGUUGU